UAUCAGACUUUAAAAAAAAAUCUAUUUUGGUGCUUUUUUCCUGAUAUGAUAUUUGGUAUUAGAAAAUCAAUGAAAUAUAAUUUAAGCAUAAUGUAGACUGCCUAGGCAAAUAUAAUAAGAUUGUGAUUUAUUCAUGCCCUUUAAACAGGUAUCAAAUGGAUUGAAUGCUCACAGGGAAUAGUAUAAAAUUUAUAAUAUUUUUCUUCUAAAUUGCAUAGCACGAUAUAUUUUCAACUGCAGAAUGGUGUCACCCUCACAUUUAAAUGGCUACAUUCUCUACUAAUAUCUAAUUGUAUAAUUUUAUAAUUGUUGCAUACAUUUUCUCUAAAAAGAAGCAAUCAGAGCUUAAUGACUUUUAAUCCAUGACAAUCAUAUCACUUUUAAACCAGUGUGCUUUUUUUUUUAAAGAGCCAUUUAUUCUUGUGACAUUUUUCUUCUAACGUCUAUGGGAAUAUCUUCUCAAUAACGAAGCAAUGUUGUCUCUAUUUUGUUUCUGCCUACUAAAGACAUUACUCAACUUUGCAGAUCUUCUGUCGUACAGUGGAACUUGGAAACAUUUUUAAUUAUCUAUUCUCAAGGAUUCAAAGAGUAAUUUCGGGCUUGUCCAGCUCUUUAAGGGUGUGAACAGAUCUCAUCAAUGCAUGAUUUAGCUGAACUAACCAGAACUGCAGAAGAAGAACAGCAUUCAAAGGAAAUCCAAAUAUUCAUUCAAUUUGCAUUUUAAUUUCCCCCCGGUUUAUCAAAGUCCAGCCAGUGACAUGAGCUGUUGUUUCUGUUCAGGCUGAACGCACCCCAGUGAGGAUCAGCUCUGGAUGGAAAGUCAGGUUACUGUCAAAGAGCAUAUCUCCUCCACCUUUAGUAAGUACUGGGAAGUGACGUCUGUAAAAAACAAGGUUCACCCCCUGUGACCUGCAUGUAAUUAAUUAGCAAUAUUUAGAGUAAUAAAGGCAGUUUUGAACAAAGUGAAAAUAUCAAUCCAAAAGGUCCAAGGAUGCUCUUUGGCCAGCUCAUGCCAAAAAGGGUUUUUCCUGUUAUGGGAACAUUGUUUGCUUUGAGUGAAUAAAAAGUAGAAGAAAUACUACAAAAUCUCCUGGGACAGUGAAAGUUGCCACUUAGAGAAGAUAAAAUGAGAAGUUAAAGUAGAAAAUUGACUUCUCCCCACUCCCAAAAGUGGCCUGUGAAUUAAGAAUAACUUUAUAGAUAGAUGCCUAGGUAAAGAUUGUCUGGAAGUAUUUCCAAGAAGCUGAUUGAUUCUAGAUUCAUACUGGGACUGGUGGCAGAACUAACAAAGUUUCCUCUUCCCCAUAAUUAAGACUCUUUAGGAAUUUAUUUCAAAAGGAAAAAUAAAUAGCAGUGGUAACAGUCACAACAGUCACAAUAAUAAUAACUAUUUUUAGUCCGACUCUACAUUUUAAGCUAUUUAUUAAUACAAUAAAUGUGAGCUCUUUGUUCAGUUUCCAAUGAGGGGAUGUAGUAUUAAAGGGAACUGAGUUAUAUUAAAACUGAUAUCCUCAGUGUAAUAAAAAUAAAACUAAAAUAAAUUAUGGUGUAGAAGAAUGGUAUGCAGUUCUACUUGGGAAAAAAAGCAAGAUUUGUUUUUAUCAUGCAUCCAAAAGUAGCAAGAAAAAUUAUUUUAUGGGACACAGUCAUCUUGACUUGAAAUUUUGUAAGCAUUUACAAAAAAAGACUACCAUGAAUAAAAUUCUAAGUUACAAGCAAGCAACUCUGGCAAAUGAUAUGAAGUCAUAAAAACCUGAUGAAAAACUCAGUAAGAUCCCAAAUGAUCUGAAAUAUUCUUUCAAACAUUGUGAUUUAAGCCCAAAAGGUAAUAUGGCAUGGUCAAUAAAAAGUAUUUUGGAAAACAUUGCAGGAGUAAGGAACAAAUCAGAUGCUUCUACACAGUAAUCUAAACACUAUAUGUUAUGAACAUUUUCUUUAAAAAGAGAAAACAUUGAACAUGAUAAACAUAAAAAAUAUAUAUAUAAAAUAAAAUGUAUUACAUUGUCAGAGACAGGAAAUAGUUACUUGUCCUAAUCAUUGUGGAAGUUAAUUCCAAAAUAAUUUUGGAACCACCAGUUCAUCUAAUUGGAAGAGCACAAACUAAAAGUCAAAACCAAAUUAAAAAUGCAAUAAUUAGAAGAAGAUAUGGUGUGUAAAUAAACUUUAGAUGAGCCUAAAUUGAUAAACAGGUCAAAAAAUACAAUCAGCAAAAGUCAAUUGCCAGGACUGGAUGAUCAUAGAAAUUUCUUCAACUAAUAGUUGAACUUUUGGCCGAUAUAGUGGUCAAGGACAACAUUAGUUCAGAUCAAUAGAUAGAAACAGGACACUAAAUCAAACAUAAAGACUCCUACAGACCCCGAGAUGUAACAGAGAUUAACAAUUACAGUAAAGUCUAGACCAGAUGACACAAAGACUAGAUUAACUAUACAAAAAACAGAUAAAUGCUCUAGCCAAAUAAAUUUUAAGGAUGUUGGGAUACUGAUUCUCAAAAUAUCUGAAAAAAGACAAAAUAUCAA